rnacentral:rRNA from 1 species
UACAGAGGUGCCAAGCGUUAGGCGGAAUCACUGGGCUUAAAGCGCGUGUAGGUGGGUCGUUAAGUGUCCGCGUGAAAUCCCACGGCUCAACCGUGGAACUGCGCGCGAAACGGGGGGGGCUGGAGUUCGGGAGAGGAGCGUGGAAUUCCCAGUGUAGAGGUGAAAUUCGUAGAUAUUGGGAAGAACACCGGUGGCGAAGGCGGCGCUCUGGACCGAGACUGACGCUGAGGCGCGAAAGCGUGGGGAGCAAACAGG